rnacentral:rRNA from 1 species
GAUGAACGCUGGCGGCGUGCCUAAUACAUGCAAGUCGAGCGAACGGACGAGAAGCUUGCUUUUCUGAUGUUAGCGGCGGACGGGUGAGUAACACGUGGAUAACCUACCUAUAAGACUGGGAUAACUUCGGGAAACCGGAGCUAAUACCGGAUAAUAUUUUGAACCGCAUGGUUCAAAAGUGAAAGACGGUCUUGCUGUCACUUAUAGAUGGAUCCGCGCUGCAUUAGCUAGUUGGUAAGGUAACGGCUUACCAAGGCGACGAUGCGUAGCCGACCUGAGAGGCUGAUCGGCCACACGGGAGCUGGGCCAGGGUCCAUGCUCCUACGGGAGGCAGCAGUAGGGAAUCUUCCGCAAUGGGCGGAAGCCUGACGGAGCAACGCCGAGUGAGUGAUGAAGGUCUUCGGAUCGUAAAACUCUGUUAUUAGGGAAGAACAUAUGUGUAAGUAACUGUGCACAUCGUGACGGUACCGAAUAAGAAAGCCACGGCUAACUACGUG